rnacentral:rRNA from 1 species
GGGCCCGCACAAGCGGUGGAGCAUGUGGUUUAAUUCGAUGAUACGCGAGGAACCUUACCAGGGCUUAAAUGUAGUGGGACAGGUCUAGAGAUAGACCCUUCUUCGGACUCAUUACAAGGUGCUGCAUGGUUGUCGUCAGCUCGUGCCGUGAGGUGUCAGGUUAAGUCCUAUAACGAGCGCAACCCCUAUCGUUAGUUGCCAUCAAGUAAAGUUGGGAACUCUAGCGAAACUGCCGGUGCAAACCGAGAGGAAGGUGGGGAUGACGUCAAAUCAUCACGGCCCUUACGUUCUGGGCUACACACGUGCUACAAUGGUCGGUACAGAAAGCAGCCACUACGCGAGUAGGAGCGAAUCUUCAAAGCCGAUCACAGUUCGGAUCGGAGUCUGCAACUCGACUCCGUGAAGCUGGAAUC